GGGCCUAUAGCUCAGUUGGUUAGAGCAUCUGACUCAUAAUCAGAGGGUCACUGGUUCAAGCCCAGUUGGGCCCA
rnacentral:tRNA from 1 species